rnacentral:rRNA from 1 species
UGGGGAAUUUUGGACAAUGGGCGAAAGCCUGAUCCAGCAAUGCCGCGUGUGUGAAGAAGGCCUUCGGGUUGUAAAGCACUUUUGUCCGGAAAGAAAUCCUUGGCUCUAAUACAGUCGGGGGAUGACGGUACCGGAAGAAUAAGCACCGGCUAACUACGUGCCAGCAGCCGCGGUAAUACGUAGGGUGCAAGCGUUAAUCGGAAUUACUGGGCGUAAAGCGUGCGCAGGCGGUUUGCUAAGACCGAUGUGAAAUCCCCGGGCUCAACCUGGGAACUGCAUUGGUGACUGGCAGGCUAGAGUAUGGCAGAGGGGGGUAGAAUUCCACGUGUAGCAGUGAAAUGCGUAGAGAUGUGGAGGAAUACCGAUGGCGAAGGCAGCCCCCUGGGCCAAUACUGACGCUCAUGCACGAAAGCGUGGGGGAGCAAACAGGAUUAGAUACCCUGGUAGUCCACGCCCUAAACGAUGUCAACUAGUUGUUGGGGAUUCAUUUCCUUAGUAACGUAGCUAACGCGUGAAGUUGACCGCCUGGGGGGUACGGUCGCAAGAUUAAAACUUAA